UACGAAGGGGGCUAGCGUUGUUCGGAUUUACUGGGCGUAAAGCGCACGUAGGCGGAUCGUUAAGUCAGGGGUGAAAUCCUGGAGCUCAACUCCAGAACUGCCUUUGAUACUGGCGAUCUUGAGUCCGGAAGAGGUGAGUGGAACUCCUAGUGUAGAGGUGGAAUUCGUAGAUAUUAGGAAGAACACCAGUGGCGAAGGCGGCUCACUGGUCCGGUACUGACGCUG
rnacentral:rRNA from 1 species